rnacentral:rRNA from 1 species
AACGAACGCUGGCGGCAGGCCUAACACAUGCAAGUCGAGCGCCCUUUCGGGGGAGCGGCGGCCGGGUGAGUAACGCGUGGGAAUAUGCCCUUCUCUACGGAAUAGCCUCGGGAAACUGAGAGUAAUACCGUAUACGCCCUGUGGGGGAAAGAUUUAUCGGGGAAGGAUUAGCCCGCGUUGGAUUAGGUAGUUGGUAGGGUAAUGGCCUACCAAGCCGACGAUCCAUAGCUGGUUUGAGAGGAUGAUCAGCCACACUGGGACUGAGACACGGCCCAGACUCCUACGGGAGGCAGCAGUGGGGAAUCUUAGACAAUGGGGGCAACCCUGAUCUAGCCAUGCCGCGUGAGUGAUGAAGGCCUUAGGGUUGUAAAGCUCUUUCAGCUGGGAAGAUAAUGACGGUACCAGCAGAAGAAGCCCCGGCUAACUCCGUG